ACAAAGUGCUUCCGAGCAGCCGCGCCGCCCAAUCGCCGGCCUCAGACCCCCGCCCCCGCCCGCAGCUGCCGCCUGCUGCAAUUCAUCCACACAUCAGGCAUGCACCGAGCGAGCGAGCGAGCGAGCGAGAGAGCGGCCUGCCCUGCCCCGCGCCGCCCGCGCCUCCGCCACAAACUUUGUCUCCGCCGCUGCGGCGCGGCACGGCGGCCAACAAAAAGCGAUCAAUAAGAUGCAGAUGUAAACAUGUUGUUUGCAGUGCUUUAGGUGAAAUCCAGGCCUUCCCAAACCUGGUGGCAAUAUUCCUGCAGGUUGAAACAGGUAACAUUUCAGUCCUUAUAUCUGAAGAUCCCAGAUGGCUUUUGCAAAGCUGAGCAAGUGUUGUCUUCUCAGAAUCUGAAGUAAAUGAAGCAAUAAGGGAAGUCAUGUUAUACCUUACUGGGUAGAAGAAAGAUAAUUGUAUGGGAGAACAAAUACAAGACUUUUUCCAAUGGCUUUGUUCAGCUUAACAGAGCAGAUGUACUGACCUCAGGAACUGGGUUUGUGUCCCUGCCAGUGCUCCAUGCCACUGAUGGAAGAAAUGUGUGGUUUUACUGUGCCGAGGGGUUGGAAUCUGUCUCCUGCUGAAACCAGUGGGAUGCUCCUCAUGAAAUCCAUGAGCACAUGGACCACCUGUGAGCAUGUGUGUCUUCAUAUCUUCUGUUUCCCAGCUAUGCGGGAUUCACCUACAGAAAAAAAUGUCAUUGGAAGUGGCUUUGGAGUACUGUCCACAAAGUUAAAAAUGAGUUUCCUGAAAGGAAAGCCCACAAGACCAAGUCAAAGUCAGCUUUCCCCUUAUAUGUGUUAAACAGUAAAUCCCGAUCUGUAUCUUACAAAUAAAACUCAGAAACAAAGGUCCUAAUGUCACUGUUCUUUCAUGUAUACUAACUCAUCUUUUUGUCUUUUCUGGAGUGCUACCCAUCUUGUUUUUCUUUACUGCAGUAGCUGAGCACAUCACAUUGAUCAUACCCCACAUCACGGUACAGCGUAGCAAUUGCUGUUCCCAUGUUACAGAUGAAGAAUGUGACAUAGUAAAGAACAGAUUGUAGCUCUUUCAAGGUUGAAACCAGAGCUGCAGUGUUUUCUCUGUCUUCAUCAAUACAAAGAAUAUGGAAAAAAAAAUCAUUAUACUUUAUACAUCACUCAAAAUCACAGUUGACUUAUAAUGUGUAGCAUGCACUACUGAGAAAUGUUAGGAAAUAGCUAAUUCAGCAAGAAGCUGAUGCACCUAAAAAGAAAAAAAUAAUAAAAUAUUGAAAACUUUUAUAACUUGGUUAAUCAUAAUUAUUAAAAUGCAAUGUCAGCUGCUUGUCAAAUUACAGCUCCUAAGCUAAAGACAGUGAGGAAUAUUUAAAAACAAACAAACAAACAAAAGUUUGCAACAUGUUUUGAGGUGAUUUGGGGGUUGUUUCUUAAAACAUAGGUGGGCUGAGUACUGGCAGACCUGCAGAAGGUGCUCUGGUUUGAUAUUUUACUCCCAGUUUACUUUGGAAAUUCACCAUUUUUGGAUGCAUAUGAUUAUUUCAAAACUUUACAAACCAUUUAUCUGUAGUAGAGAUGACAGAUUUAGUAGGUUUUGGUCAUAAAGAUGAAACCAGGACAAAAGAUAAUCCCCCAGUUAUCUUCUUUUAUUUCCCUCUCGUUGCUAAUGCACAGGUAAGAUAAAACUGUACUUGAAUGCAGUAAAAAAUUGGGGGUUACUGAUUUUUCAGAGCUAAUAUUACUCCACACAUACAGUUCCAAGAACACUAAUUGAAAUUGACUGAAGAGCAAACAAACAAGACCAGUGCAAGACGGCUUCCCCGUUUUUAGUAUUAAUAUAUACUUUCCAGACACGUUAUUUUUUAGUAUCAACCUGUUAAUUCCUGCACAUUUUAUCAUACUCCAACACACAUAGAUUGUAAUUUCAAAUAUUUAUAUUUAGAAGGAGAUGUGUAUUCUGUAGGGAGGUGAGUUAUAACAAGAUACAGGAGUCCUCAGUCACAGACAGUUAAAGAUUUAUGUCUGAUUAUUAAUGCUGGGAGUUUAGUAAUGUUAUCAUUCAACCAUUAAUUUAAUUUCCCUGUGUUUAUGAUGUUAUCCUACCUGGAAAUCAGUGUUUGUGCGGACUCUACCUAUUCAUUUCACUUGUAAAACAUUAUCCUUUAUAUGUUAGUUUCAUUUGAGGUAUAGGAGUCUUCAAUUUGUGGAUAUAUUUCAGCAUCUACAGGCAGAUGAAAAUUUAACAGCUGAAGCAGCAUGGAAAAUGGGAAGUGUUAUAUGUGCAACAAUGCCUCCCUUAUCUCUGCGCUCCUCUAAUGCUGAAGAUGUCCAUACUUUGAGGCUGCAAAGGCUGACUACAGACAGGAUCACUCUUACCUCCUCUAUCUCAGGCUAGUUAAAAUUGCCCGCUUCUGAGAUUUUUACAGAGCCAAGUUUUGCUUGCAGGGUGCCUGAACUUCUUGAAAAUGGAAAACUGGACAUACUCCUUGUUAGGACAUUAGGCUGUUCUGAAAUACUUUGUAGAGAUGUUACUGCAAUCCAGACUCAGUUAUAGGAAGCAAACAAGCUGCUGGGAAAAGAAGGACUAAAAAUAAGCUGCCUCAACUUCAACUAUUCUGUCCUCUGUCUCACAACUUUUCUGGCUAUUGUGAUCCUCAGUGUUUUAAACCAUUCACUAUUUUCCUUUUCUCAGUUCCUAAGCAUCCCCCCUGUGUUUUCUUUAAGCAGGCAAGAGGGAGGUAGCAUGAGAAGCACUAAACAGCUGGGAAACAGGAGGAGCCACAGGAUUUACUUCUGAACAUGUAGAUUUAAAACCAUGGGGAAAAAAAGAAAAGAAAAAAAAAAACACGGAUGCAAAAGUGGUCUUUAAGAAGCAGA
ensembl:lncRNA